rnacentral:RNase_P_RNA from 1 species
CGGAGCGGCUCAGGUGAUCGCCGGCUCGCCUUCGGGCGGGCGGGAGGAAAGUCCGAGCUCCGCAGGGCAGGAUGCCAGCUAACGGCUGGUAGGGGUGACCCUCAGGAAAGUGCCACAGAGAGCAGACCGCCGCGCUGCGCGAGCCGCGCGGUAAGGGUGAAAGGGUGAGGUAAGAGCUCACCGGGCCGGCGGUAACGUCGGUCGCAAGGCAAACCCCAUCCGGAGCAAGACCGAAUAGGGAAGCGUUGAGGGCGGCCCGCCCGAGCUUCCGGGUUGUGUCGCUCGAGAUACGCGGUGACGCGUGUCCUAGAUGAAUGAUCGCCGCCCGCGUUUCGGUGACGGACGCGGGAACAGAACUCGGCUUAUGAUCUCUCCGACCC